GAUGAACGCUGGCGGCGUGCCUAAUACAUGCAAGUCGAGCGAGCAGAUAAGGAGCUUGCUCCUUUGACGUUAGCGGCGGACGUGUGAGUAACACGUGUAUAACCUACCUAUAAGACUGGGAUAACUUCGGGAAACCGGAGCUAAUACCGGAUAAGAUCUUGAACCGCAUGGUUCAAUAGUGAAAUGCGGCGUUGCUGUCACGUAUAGAUGGAUCUGCGCCGUAUUGGAUAGUUGUUAAGUUAACGGCUUACCAAGGCAACGAUACGUAUCCGAAGUGAGAGGGUGGUAGCCCACACUGGAACUGGACCACGGACCAGGCUCCUACGGGAGGGAGCAGUAGGGAAUCUUCCGCAAUGGGCGAAAGCAUGACGGAGUAACGCCGAGUGAGAGAUGAAGGCCUUCGGUUCGGAAAAAUCUGUUAUCAGGGAAGAACCACUGUGUAAGUAAAUGUGCACAUCUUGACGGUACCUGAUCAGAAAGCCACGGCUAACUACGUG
rnacentral:rRNA from 1 species